rnacentral:rRNA from 1 species
UACGGAGGGUGCGAGCGUUGUCCGGAAUCAUUGGACGUAAAGGGCGCGUAGGUGGCCCGGUCAGUUCGUGGUGAAAGCGCGGGGCUCAACCCUGCGUCGGCCAUGAAUACUGCCGCGGCUGGAGCACUGUAGAGGCAGGCGGAAUUCCGGGUGUAGCGGUGGAAUGCGUAGAGAUCCGGAAGAACACCGGUGGCGAAGGCGGCCUGCUGGGCAGUUGCUGACACUGAGGCGCGACAGCGUGGGGAGCAAACAGG